rnacentral:rRNA from 1 species
UACAGAGGUCUCAAGCGUUGUUCGGAUUCAUUGGGCGUAAAGGGUGCGUAGGUGGCGCUGUAAGUCGGGUGUGAAAUUUCGGAGCUUAACUCCGAAACUGCAUUCGAUACUGCGGUGCUUGAGGACUGGAGAGGAGACUGGAAUUCAUGGUGUAGCAGUGAAAUGCGUAGAGAUCAGGAGGAACACCAAUGGCGAAGGCAGCUCGCUGGGACGUGACUGACGCUGAGACGCGAAAGCGUGGGGAGCAAACAGG